rnacentral:rRNA from 1 species
GAUGAACGCUGGCGGCGUGCCUAAUACAUGCAAGUCGAGCGAACGGACGAGAAGCUUGCUUCUCUGAUGUUAGCGGCGGACGGGUGAGUAACACGUGGAUAACCUACCUAUAAGACUGGGAUAACUUCGGGAAACCGGAGCUAAUACCGGAUAAUAUUUUGAACCGCAUGGUUCAAAAGUGAAAGACGGUCUUGCUGUCACUUAUAGAUGGAUCCGCGCUGCAUUAGCUAGUUGGUAAGGUAACGGCUUACCAAGGCAACGAUGCAUAGCCGACCUGAGAGGUGGGUGGCCACCCCUGAGACGAGCACACGACCCGACUCCCUAGGGGAGCAGCAAGAGGGGAUUCUCCACGAAUGGCAGAAGCCCGGACGGAGCACCCCGGAGGGAGGAAUAAGGGUUUCGGGAUCUAAAAACUUUUUAAUGAGGAAAAAACAUGGUUGUAAUAAACGUUCCCCACUUUGGGGUACCCUAAUAGGAAGCCCCGGCCAACCUAGUUC